rnacentral:sRNA from 1 species
UGUGGUGGUGACAAGACUUUGAGACUUUGGAACAUUGACACCUGUU